UCCCAUUAGCUAGUUGGUAAGGUAACGGCUUACCAAGGCAACGAUGGGUAGGGGUCCUGAGAGGGAGAUCCCCCACACUGGUACUGAGACACGGUCCAGACUCCUACGGGAGGCAGCAGUGAGGAAUAUUGGACAAUGGGCGCAAGCCUGAUCCAGCCAUGCCGCGUGCAGGAUGACGGUCCUAUGGAUUGUAAACUGCUUUUGUACGAGAAGAAACACUGCUUCGUGAAGCAGCUUGACGGUAUCGUAAGAAUAAGGAUCGGCUAACUCCGUGCCAGCAGCCGCGGUAAUACGGAGGAUCCAAGCGUUAUCCGGAAUCAUUGGGUUUAAAGGGUCCGUAGGCGGUUUAGUAAGUCAGUGGUGAAGCCCAUCGCUCAACGGUGGACGGCCAUUGAUACUGCUGAACUUGAAUUAUUAGGAAGUAACUAGAAUAUGUAGUGUAGCGGUGAAAUGCUUAGAGAUUACAUGGAAUACCAAUUGCGAAGGCAGGUUACU
rnacentral:rRNA from 1 species